CUCUUAUCCGGAGUGGUGGAGGGACUGGCCCUGUGAAGCCCGGCAACCGCCCCGCCUAUGGCGGAGGUAUGGUGCUAAUUCCUGCAGAAGUAAUAACUUCUGGCAGAUAAGAG
rnacentral:ncRNA from 2 species